rnacentral:rRNA from 1 species
GAUGAACGCUAGCGGGAGGCCUAACACAUGCAAGCCGAGCGGUAGAGUUUCUUCGGAAACUUGAGAGCGGCGCACGGGUGCGUAACACGUGUGCAACCUACCUUUAUCUGGGGGAUAGCCUUUCGAAAGGAAGAUUAAUACCCCAUAAUAUAAUGAUUGGCAUCAAUUAUUAUUGAAAACUCCGGUGGAUAGAGAUGGGCACGCGCAAGAUUAGAUAGUUGGUGAGGUAACGGCUCACCAAGUCAAUGAUCUUUAGGGGUCCUGAGAGGGAGAUCCCCCACACUGGUACUGAGGCACGGACCAGACUCCUACGGGAGGCAGCAGUGAGGAAUAUUGGACAAUGGGUGAGAGCCUGAUCCAGCCAUCCCGCGUGAAGGAUGACGGUCCUAUGGAUUGUAAACUUCUUUUGUACAGGGAUAAACCUACCCUCGUGAGGGUAGCUGAAGGUACUGUACGAAUAAGCACCGGCUAACUCCGUG